rnacentral:tRNA from 1 species
GGAGGAGUGUCCGAGCGGUUUAAGGAACUGGUCUUGAAAACCAGCGAUCCUGAAAGGGAUCCGUGGGUUCAAAUCCCACCUCCUCCUCCA